GGGUCGCUAGCUCAACGGGCUAGAGCAUUCGGCUUUGUAGCAUGCCGGCUUUCCGCUCUGUGCGGUCAUGGGCACGCUUCCUUCUCUUUCGGGACCGAAGGGUUCGGGGUUCGAGUCCCCGGCGACCCA
rnacentral:tRNA from 1 species